AUUGAACGCUGGCGGCAUGCUUUACACAUGCAAGUCGAGCGGCAGCGCGGGGGCAACCCUGGCGGCGAGCGGCGAACGGGUGAGUAAGGCAUCGGAACGUGUCCGGGAGUGGGGGAUAACGCCGCGAAAGCGGCGCUAAUACCGCAUAUUCUCUGAGGAGGAAAGCGGGGGAUCUCGCAAGGGGCCUAGCGCUCGCGGAGCGGCCGAUGUCCGAUUAGCUGGUUGGUGGGGUAAUGGCCUACCAAGGCGACGAUCGGUAGCUGGUCUGAGAGGAUGAUCAGCCACACUGGGACUGAGACACGGCCCAGACUCCUACGGGAGGCAGCAGUGGGGAAUUUUGGACAAUGGGGGCAACCCUGAUCCAGCCAUGCCGCGUGCGGGAAGAAGGCCUUCGGGUUGUAAACCGCUUUUAGCCGGGACGAAAGCGCCACGGAUAACACCCGUGGCGGUUGACGGUACCGGCGGAAUCAGCACCGGCUAACUACGUGCCAGCCGCCGCGGUAAAAC
rnacentral:rRNA from 1 species